rnacentral:lncRNA from 1 species
AUAUAUUCCUCUUUCUUAACAUGUUUCCCAACCCUUUUCUCCCCCCUUCCCCCUCCCCUAUAAUAGUAGAAAAACAAAUUUUACCAGAAGAGGGAAAAGAAACCUCCAUAUUAUCAUCCAAGGGAGACCAGUAACAAGAGAUAGCAAUUGUGGAUUCACCGAAAAUUAGGUUUUGUUGGUGAAUUCGUUGAAAAUUAGGGGUUGUUCUUGAACAAAGACGACAAAGUUUGAG